UGUAAAGAUAGGAGCCUCUGUUUGCAAUUC
rnacentral:piRNA from 1 species